GGGCGGUAGCUCAAUGGGAGAGCAUCUGCUUUGCAUGCACAAGGUCCCAGGUUCAAUCCCUGGGAUCUCCA